rnacentral:tRNA from 2 species
GGUAGGUGUAGUUCAAUCGGCAGAAUGUCUAUUUGUGGCAUAGAUGGUUCCUGGUUCAAAUCCAGGUAUUUACC